rnacentral:sRNA from 1 species
CCCUAGCCCUGAUCGAAGCGGCAUCCUUUUAUUUUUUUCCUUUAAAAAAAUAAAAGAUACAGCGGAGAGCAGGAUUAGCU